GCAAUCGUAGCUCAGCUGGAUAGAGCACUUGACUACGAAUCAAGAGGUCACAGGUUCGACUCCUGUCGGUUGCG
rnacentral:tRNA from 1 species